AGUGAACGCUGGCGGUAGGCCUAACACAUGCAAGUCGAACGGCAGCACAGUAAGAGCUUGCUCUUACGGGUGGCGAGUGGCGGACGGGUGAGGAAUACAUCGGAAUCUACUUUUUCGUGGGGGAUAACGUAGGGAAACUUACGCUCAUACCGCAUACGCCCUACGGGUGAAAGCAGGGGAUCUUCGGACCUUGCGCGAUUGAAUGAGCCGAUGUCGGAUUAGCUAGUUGGCGGGGUAAUGGCCCACCAAGGCGACGAUCCGUAGCUGGUCUGAGUGGAGGGUCAGCCACACUGGAACUGAGACACGGUCCAGACUCCUACGGGAGGCAGCAGUGGGGAAUAUUGGACAAUGGGCGCAAGCCUGAUCCAGCCAGACCGCGUGUGUGAAGAAGGCCUUCGGGUUGUAAAGCCCUUUUGUUGGGAAAGAAAAGCAGCAGGUUAAUACCCCGCUGUUCUGACGGUACCCAAAGAAUAAGCACCGGCUAACUUCGUG
rnacentral:rRNA from 1 species